UCGAGAAUUUUUCUCAAUGGGCGAAAGCCUGAAGGAGCGACGCCGCGUGGGGGAUGAAUGGCUUCGGCCCGUAAACCCCUGUCAUUUGCGAACAAAUUGAUUCACCUAACACGUGUAUCAUUGAUUGUAGCGGAAGAGGAAGGGACGGCUAACUCUGUGCCAGCAGCCGCGGUAAUACAGAGGUCCCAAGCGUUGUUCGGAUUCACUGGGCGUAAAGGGUGCGUAGGCGGCCGGGUAAGUCUGAUGUGAAAUCUCACAGCUUAACUGUGAAACUGCAUUGGAUACUAUCCGGCUCGAGGAAUGGAGGGGAGACUGGAAUACUUGGUGUAGCAGUGAAAUGCGUAGAUAUCAAGUGGAACACCAGUGGCGAAGGCGAGUCUCUGGACAUUUCCUGACGCUGAGGCACGAAAGCCAGGGGAGCAAACGG
rnacentral:rRNA from 1 species